AUUUAUGUAGUUUAAUAAAAAACCUCUUAUUUUCAAUAAGGAAAUAAGAAUUUAAUUCUUCAUAAAUA
rnacentral:tRNA from 1 species